ACCCUCUCAGGAUCGUACCUGGAGAGUUUCCAGUCCUCUACCAGUCUCGGCUAUGGGAGGGAGAGUGAAGCAGGGGUCUACCCAUUCCAUUCCUAGCUUGGGCAGUGGCUAGUGAGUGGCAGGCAAUCAGCUAAAAGU